rnacentral:rRNA from 1 species
UACGUAGGGGGCUAGCGUUGUCCGGAAUCAUUGGGCGUAAAGCGCGUGUAGGCGGCUCGGUAAGUCUGCUGUGAAAGUCCAGGGCUCAACCCUGGGAUGCCGGUGGAUACUGUCGAGCUCGAGUCCGGAAGAGGCGAGUGGAAUUCCUGGUGUAGCGGUGAAAUGCGCAGAUAUCAGGAGGAACACCAAUUGCGAAGGCAGCUCGCUGGGACGUUACUGACGCUGAGACGCGAAAGCGUGGGGAGCAAACAGG